GGGGCGCCGGCGUCAGCGUGCGCGUCCGCGGGAGACCGGGCUCGCCGUCCGGCCAUAACUGGGUCUACCCCUGCUGGACAAGGGAACAGGAUGCAGGGCCUUCCUUCUGGAGAGCUGAGUGGCUCAGAGCUUCUGCCCCUUUGAGAGCGAAACCACCCACGUUUCUAGUCCCUCCUGGGACAGUGUGUCCUGCGAGCCCAGUCUCAAGGCUCUGGACUACAGCUAACAAGAUAUGUGUAAGAUCAAUGUGUGAGAACAGUAGCAACACUCACCUAAAGGACACAAAAGGAGACCCAAACCGAUGGAGUGAUGUACCGUCUUUCCGAGUGAGACAAUUCGACGUUAUAAAGAUGUCCAUUCUCUAACAUGAACCCCCAUGCCCCCAAAUGCUGUGCAUAUCCACUGAAAUUAUCAACAGCAUUAUUUUGUAAAAUGGAGUGAGUAAAUUAUAAGAUUUACAUGAAAGAUAAAAAGGUCAUGGUAAAGAAAAUUCUGUAGGAAAAAAAGAAGGGACGUUUGCUCCACCGGAUAUAAAAAAACUAAAAAGUUAUGCCAACGGACAGAGUGCGGUGUGGGCCGAGAGCCACAGCUCGUGGGCGGAGCGGAGGCCGAGGCAGGCGAUGCCCGGAGCUGCUCCCCUUCAGACCAGGGUCACCGUGACACGGGAACAGAAAGAGCACCCCAGGUGCCGCUGCUCGCCCCACACCCACACGGGAGGGCUGAGCCACCUGCGUGUGCCCUGUCUGGCAGCCCAUCCCAGAUGGCGGCUGGACCCUGGGACCUGGUAGACAACAGGAAGCCUCCCUGGCAGGAAGGGGGUGGGAGGUGGCUGUGGCCCUGUCUUCCCACCUGGGGCCACCGUGCUCCCAGAGGCCCUGGGGCGCUGUGGCUCCGGAGCUGGCCGCGCAGCCUGUUGGGUCCGCCUGCAGGUGACUGGAGCUGAGCUGUUCCUCCCCCAAGAGAAUAACACAGUGACGUUCAAGCUGUGAGGCAGGUGGUGUUGCAAGUCUGUGAGAAAGGGCACUGGACAAACACCUCAUGCCAUGUGCAAAACAAAUGCAGAAGGACCAAAGUGCUAACCAUUAAAAAACUGGAAAAAAGUAUGGAAAGAAAUGCGGGAAAAUAUUUUGUAAUUUGGGUGGGAAAUGCUUUUCUUGAAAGCAAAGACUGAAAUCCAUACAAAGGAAACACUUCUGGGUGACGAAAGACACUGGUAACCAAGUCGUCGGUUCAGCAAUAGGCUGGAGGGAUAUAUAGCAUGUUAGACACAGGAUUAUUAGAUGUUAUAGAGAGAAUAUAAAAGUAGUUUAUACAAAUUGAAAGACAAAAGAUAAUUCAGUAACAAAAUAGUUAAAUAACACGAACAAAUCAUCUUCAGGGAAAAAAUACAAAUAACUACUA